rnacentral:misc_RNA from 1 species
UCUCCGUAGGUGAACCUGCGGAGGGAUCAUUACUGAGUGAGGGCUCACGCCCGACCUCCAACCCUUUGUGAACCAAACUUGUUGCUUCGGGGGCGACCCGGCCUUCGGGCGUCGGGGCCCCCGGUGGACCAUUCAACUCUGCAUCUUUGCGUCGGAGUUUAAAACAAAUUAAACAAAACUUUCAACAACGGAUCUCUUGGUUCUGGCAUCGAUGAAGAACGCAGC